rnacentral:rRNA from 1 species
GACAAAUGCCCUGCUUCCAGGAAAAGCCUCUAAGCAUCAGGUAACAUCAAAUCGUACCCCAAACCGACACAGGUGGUCAGGUAGAGAAUACCAAGGCGCUUGAGAGAACUCGGGUGAAGGAACUAGGCAAAAUGGUGCCGUAACUUCGGGAGAAGGCACGCUGAUAUGUAGGUGAAGCGACUUGCUCGUGGAGCUGAAAUCAGUCGAAGAUACCAGCUGGCUGCAACUGUUUAUUAAAAACACAGCACUGUGCAAACACGAAAGUGGACGUAUACGGUGUGACGCCUGCCCGGUGCCGGAAGGUUAAUUGAUGGGGUUAGCGGUAACGCGAAGCUCUUGAUCGAAGCCCCGGUAAACGGCGGCCGUAACUAUAACGGUCCUAAGGUAGCGAAAUUCCUUGUCGGGUAAGUUCCGACCUGCACGAAUGGCGUAAUGAUGGCCAGGCUGUCUCCACCCGAGACUCAGUGAAAUUGAACUCGCUGUGAAGAUGCAGUGUACCCGCGGCAAGACGGAAAGACCCCGUGAACCUUUACUAUAGCUUGACACUGAACAUUGAGCCUUGAUGUGUAGGAUAGGUGGGAGGCUUUGAAGUGUGGACGCCAGUCUGCAUGGAGCCGACCUUGAAAUACCACCCUUUAAUGUUUGAUGUUCUAACGUUGGCCCGUAAUCCGGGUUGCGGACAGUGUCUGGUGGGUAGUUUGACUGGGGCGGUCUCCUCCUAAAGAGUAACGGAGGAGCACGAAGGUUGGCUAAUCCUGGUCGGACAUCAGGAGGUUAGUGCAAUGGCAUAAGCCAGCUUGACUGCGAGCGUGACGGCGCGAGCAGGUGCGAAAGCAGGUCAUAGUGAUCCGGUGGUUCUGAAUGGAAGGGCCAUCGCUCAACGGAUAAAAGGUACUCCGGGGAUAACAGGCUGAUACCGCCCAAGAGUUCAUAUCGACGGCGGUGUUUGGCACCUCGAUGUCGGCUCAUCACAUCCUGGGGCUGAAGUAGGUCCCAAGGGUAUGGCUGUUCGCCAUUUAAAGUGGUACGCGAGCUGGGUUUAGAACGUCGUGAGACAGUUCGGUCCCUAUCUGCCGUGGGCGCUGGAGAACUGAGGGGGGCUGCUCCUAGUACGAGAGGACCGGAGUGGACGCAUCACUGGUGUUCGGGUUGUCAUGCCAAUGGCACUGCCCGGUAGCUAAAUGCGGAAGAGAUAAGUGCUGAAAGCAUCUAAGCACGAAACUUGCCCCGAGAUGAGUUCUCCCUGACUCCUUGAGGGUCCUGAAGGAACGUUGAAGACGACGACGUUGAUAGGCCGGGUGUGUAAGCGCAGCGAUGCGUUGAGCUAACCGGUACUAAUGAACCGUGAGGCUUAACCUUACAACGCCGAAG